rnacentral:tRNA from 1 species
GCGUCGGUGGCUCAGUGGUAGAAUACUCGCCUGUCACGCGGGUGACCCGGGUUCGAUUUCCGGCCGACGCA